AUCACUUCUCAGCCUUUUGGCUAAGAUCAAGUGUAAUAUCUAAAUAUGUGUGUAUUUUGUACUAACUACUUACUUUGAACGUGAUUGCAUGGAGAAAGUAGAAUUUUUGAGGAUCAAGGAUUUAUCU
ensembl:snRNA U2 U2 spliceosomal RNA